CACAAGAGGACAUACAUAGACCAACAAGGGCAGAUAAAUAUAAUAAGAAUAGUGUUCAAGGGACGGUCAUCCAUAACCAGAAAAAUACUAUAGGUGGAUGGUGUAUAUUUUCAAAACAAUGAAUUGAUGUACUUAAUCUACUUCCCUAGUAGGUGUCAUGACUCCUUUCAUUAAUCUGAUGAAUGUUAUUUAUCUAUAUAUUGCAUCGUAUAUGUUACAAAUUCCAAUUUGUUGUGGCUAACGUUAGCAAGGUGGCUGUGGCUCACGUUAGUUAGGGUAGGGGUUAAGGUUAGGGUUAAGUUUGAAGUUAGUGUUUGGAGAUAGGGUUAGGCAUUAAGGUUAGGGUUAGGGGAAGUGUUAGUUAACAUGCUAAGUAGUUGAAAGGUUGCGACACUGAACACAAAUAUAAACGCAACAUGCAGCGAAAUGGAGAAAGGGAGAUGGAGAAAAAGGGAAGUAAAUAGUUUGCUUGAAUGUUCGAGUGCAAAGAGUGAGAGGGAAUUAGGGGAGGCCAGAGAGGGGGAAAGUACAUUCAGUUUGGAGUAGUAGAGAGAGCACAGGAUCAAGACUUCGACAUAAAGCAUUAUAUCAGGAACUACAUCUCGAGACAGCUGGACCAACCAGACGGUACUGAGUCCAACACUCUGACUGAGAGCUGAGAGCCGAGAGCCUCAGAACCCACAAGAUGAGGAAUCUACUGAUAUUAAUCAUCCUGUCCUUCAUGACAGGUUGUGUGAGCUGCCUUGAAGUGGAAGGAUGCUCAGGAGGAACUGUCAUCUUCACCUGUAAAUACCCAGACAACUAUCAAAACAACGAUAAAUAUUUCUGCAAGGAAUCAACUCAAAGUUGUGAGGAGAAAAUAAAAAGUGGGAUGAAGAACACCUGGGAGAACAAGGAUAGAUUCUCUCUGUGUGACACUAAUAGGGAACUCUUUACAGUGAUAAUCAGAAAACUGGAGAAAAAAAAGAUGAAGGGAACUACAAAUGUGAAGUGGCCACAUCAGAUCCAUCAAGUGGCCAUGUUACUAUCGUGGAGCUGAAAGUAAAGGAAGAUGACUGCUUUAAGAAAUCAGUCAAAGAGACAGCCUAUCUGGGGAGAAACGCUACCAUCACCUGCAAGUAUCCAGAGGACCAUGAGAAUCGCACCAAGUAUUUCUGCAAACAAGACGAUCGCUUCAUCUGCAAAGACAAUAUCACUUUAGAAUCUGAAAAAAUAUCAAACAAACAUGGUCGAUUAUUUGUGUCUGAUAACAGAAGGGAGAGUCUUCACUGUGACUUUCACCAACCUGACUGUGGAGGAUACAGGGGUAUACUGGUGUGGUGGGAAAACUCAUGUCUACACCACCCUGAUCACUGAAGUAGAACUCGCAGUUAACGCGCCACCCAAGACCACCACGGUGACAACCAUGUCUCCUGCAUCUUCAUCCAGGUCACCACCAUCACCACUAAAUAGAGCUGCCUCCUCAACACACAGGCUGAGCACAGAUGCAGGGAAUAAUGGAAAGGGUGGUCAUGGUAUUGGUGACUCUGAAGGUAUAAAAGAGCGCUCCCUUCAGCCAGACUCAGUUCCGGCGACCACCAUCUACGCCUCUGACUCUCUUCACUACGCCAGUGUCAACUUCCAGAAGAACCCCGUCUGCCCCACCGAAGCCACCGCCGCCAUCGCUAAAGAGGACACUCCUUUUGCUGACUACGCCACUGUGAACUUUGGUCAAAGCCCCGCCUAAUCUAUGGUCAAUCAUCCAAACAGGGCUUCGGAGGCUGUACUUCACAGUCAACAAACCCUGAGACACAUGAGUCACUGGCGACCAAUCACAACGGAUAUAGGCCUACACACACUGGCAACCAAUCACAAGGGGCGUGUUUUAAACUCUGUGCCACUCGAUGUCUUUCAAAUAAGAGGACAUUUUGUAAAUAAUUACAAAAUAAUUACAAAAUUACAAAAUGUCCUCUUAUUUGAAAGACAUCGAGUGGUAGAAAAGGUAGAAAAGGACACUAUCCCCUCAAGGGUUACAACGUGCGUUUACACUUCUCUAAGUAGCUUUCCUUCACUGGAGACAGGACAUGAGACAUUCUGUGCAUCAGAGGGGUAAAGACUAGGGCACUAUGCAAAGGCAGUCAUGUAGGGAAGCCCUACAGCUGCAUCAUCUGCUUCAUGUCCUUACAGUCAGAUGUGUUGCUGACUUCUCUUCCAUGUCUUUUCACCCCUUUAUGUUUGGGACACUUAAUUUGCAUUUUAAGUUUUUAUCAGUAAACUCAGUAACUGUC